CAGACGCUACGCUGUCUCGUGAGUGGCGGACGGGUGAGUAAUGUCUGGGAAACUGCCCGAUGGAGGGGGAUAACUACUGGAAACGGUAGCUAAUACCGCAUACCAUCGGAUGUGCCCAGAUGGGAUUAGCUAGUAGGUGGGGUAACGGCUCACCUAGGCGACGAUACCUAGCUGGUAUGAGAGGAUGACCAGCCACACUGGAACUGAGAAGCGGUCCAGACUCCUACGGGAUGCAGCAGUGGGGAAUAUUGCAAAAUGGGCGCAAGCCUGAUGCAGCCAUGCCGCGUGUAUGAAGAAGGCCUGCGGGUUGUAAAGUACUUGCAGCGGGGAGGCGUGACCCGCAGAAGAAGCACCGGCGAACUCCGUGCCAGCAGCCGCGGUAAUUC
rnacentral:rRNA from 1 species